GCCCUAAGUAGCUUAAUAUUAAAGCACUGGCCUUGUAAACCAACAAUAGAUCCAACGAUCUCUAGGGCA
rnacentral:tRNA from 1 species